rnacentral:rRNA from 1 species
UACAGAGGGUGCAAGCGUUAAUCGGAGUAACUGGGCGUAAAGGGCGCGUAGGCGGUGAUGUGAGUGUGAUGUGAAAGCCCCGGGCUUAACCUGGGAAGUGCAUCGCAAACGACAUGACUGGAGUAGAUGAGAGGGUGGCGGAAUUUCCGGUGUAGCGGUGAAAUGCGUAGAGAUCGGAAGGAACGUCGAUGGCGAAGGCAGCCACCUGGCAUCAUACUGACGCUGAGGCGCGAAAGCGUGGGGAGCGAACAGG